UGGGGAAUAUUGGGCAAUGGAGGAAACUCUGACCCAGCGACGCCGCGUGCGGGAUGAAGGCCUUCGGGUUGUAAACCGCUUUCAGCAGGGAAGAAGCGAAAGUGACGGUACCUGCAGAAGAAGCACCGGCUAACUAUGUGCCAGCAGCCGCGGUAAUACAUAGGGUGCAAGCGUUGUCCGGAAUUAUUGGGCGUAAAGAGCUCGUAGGUGGUUCGUCACGUCGGAUGUGAAACUCUGGGGCUUAACCCCAGACCUGCAUUCGAUACGGGCGAGCUUGAGUAUGGUAGGGGAGUCUGGAAUUCCUGGUGUAGCGGUGGAAUGCGCAGAUAUCAGGAGGAACACCAAUGGCGAAGGCAGGACUCUGGGCCAUUACUGACACUGAGGAGCGAAAGCGUGGGGAGCGAACAGGAUUAGAUACCCUGGUAGUCCACGCCGUAAACGGUGGGCACUAGUUGUGGGGACCUUCCACGGUCUCUGCGACGCAGCUAACGCAUUAAGUGCCCCGCCUGGGGAGUACGAUCGCAAGAUUAAAACUCAAAGGAAUUGACGGGGCCCCGCACAAGCAGCGGAGCAUGCGGCUUAAUUCGACGCAACGCGAAGAACCUUACCAAGGCUUGACAUAUACAGGAAUAUGGCAGAGAUGUCAUAGCCGCAAGGUCUGUAUACAGGUGGUGCAUGGUUGUCGUCAGCUCGUGUCGUGAGAUGUUGGGUUAA
rnacentral:rRNA from 1 species